rnacentral:tRNA from 1 species
GCGGAUGGAGCCCUACGGGAAGGGGCGCCGGUCUCCAAAGCCGGUAGUUGCAGGUUCGAGUCCUGUCAUCCGUGCCA